UACGUAGGGUGCGAGCGUUGUCCGGAAUUACUGGGCGUAAAGGGCGCGUAGGCGGAUACUUAAGUCGGGGGUGAAAGCCCAGGGCUCAACCCUGGAAUAGCCUUCGAUACUGGGUAUCUUGAGUUCGGGAGAGGUGAGUGGAACUCCGAGUGUAGAGGUGAAAUUCGUAGAUAUUCGGAAGAACACCAGUGGCGAAGGCGACUCACUGGCCCAAUACUGACGCUGAGGCGCGAAAGCGUGGGGAGCAAACAGG
rnacentral:rRNA from 1 species